AGGAUUAACGCUGGCGGCGGUGCCUAACGACGAUGCAAGUCGAACGAGGUAGCAAUACCUAGUGGCAGACGGGUGAGUAGCGCGUGGUCAACCUACCGUUGAGUGGGGGAUAACUAGCCGAAAGGUUAGCUAAUACCGCAUACGUCUCCGAGGGGCAUCCCUUGGUGAUAAAAGGAGCAAUCCGCUCGAUGACGGGACCGCGUCCCAUUAGCUAGUUGGUGGGGUAACGGCCUACCAAGGCAUCGAUGGGUAGCUGGUUUGAGAGAGCGACCAGCCACACUGGGACUGAGAUACGGCCCAGACUCCUACGGGAGGCAGCAGUGAGGAAUUUUCCGCAAUGGGCGAAAGCCUGACGGAGCGACGCCGCGUGUGGGAAGAAGGCCUUCGGGUCGUAAACCACUGUCGAAGGGGAAGAUAAUGACGGUACCCUUGGAGGAAGCCCCGGCUAACUACGCGCCAGCAGCCGC
rnacentral:rRNA from 1 species